CUUUCUCUUUUCCAUCCUUUUCCUUCACUGGCAGCUUGUGAAACACCAUUUCACCACUGAUGCUCUCAAAAUAUUGUUGAAUGCAGAUCUUGGCAAAACUUUUGGCAUGCUCUUUGCACGUGUCAUCGAAGAGCCUGCGUUCUGUAUCGAUGUAAUGGGACCAGUAUUUGGUUUUCAGGAAGACGGCUUGAGUGAAACAAGGUCGGAUUGCUCUUAUCAGGAAGGCCACAAAAGUUGUUGCCAUCAGAAAUGCCCAUCCACAGGCCUGAGGAAACAAAGAGAAAAUGUUUCUAUAUCAUCACUUGUCAAGCUCAGGAAACAUAAUUGUGACUAACGUUAGCUGGUGAGCCAUAAAAAAAUCGAGCUUGGUUUGACCAGUUACCAGUUGCCAAAACACAUAAGCUGGUAGACCAUCUUUGCCAGCUGCACUUACCAGCUGGCAAAACUGGCCUACUAAUCUGACCAGCUUGGCCUGUGUUUGGCUGCUGGUAGUUGGUCAGACCAAGCAGGAUUUUUCAGCAGGAGAUAUCCUUCAGUCCUGGUAACGUGUUCUUUUGUGGUCAGGUAAAACAUGGUGAGUGAAAACAU